AGGUGAGAUAUCAUGAUCAAGAAGGUGGUUCUCCCAGGGCGAAGCUCAGCCAUUGCUUCGGUUGUGCUGACCCCUGUGAAUUCCUUAAAUGUGGGAAUCUUGACU
rnacentral:snRNA from 1 species